CCUACGGGGCGCAGCAGUGGGGAAUAUUGCGCAAUGGGCGAAAGCCUGACGCAGCGACGCCGCGUGAGGGAUGAAGGUCUUCGGAUCGUAAACCUCUGUCAGCAGGGAAGAACGGUCACUGUGCUAAUCAGCAGUGAAUUGACGGUACCUGCAAAAGAAGCCCCGGCUAACUACGUGCCAGCAGCCGCGGUAAUACGUAGGGGGCAAGCGUUAUCCGGAUUUACUGGGUGUAAAGGGAGCGUAGACGGAAAGGCAAGUCAGAAGUGAAAGCCCAAGACUCAACCAUGGGACUGCUUUUGAAACUG
rnacentral:rRNA from 1 species